GAUGAACGCUGGCUACAGGCUUAACACAUGCAAGUCGAGGGGAAACGACAUCGAAAGCUUGCUUUUGAUGGGCGUCGACCGGCGCACGGGUGAGUAACGCGUAUCCAACCUGCCCAUCACUUGGGAAUAACCUUGCGAAAGUAAGACUAAUACCCAAUGAUAUCCCACGAAGGCAUCGGAAUGGGAUUAAAGAUUUAUCGGUGAUGGAUGGGGAUGCGUCUGAUUAGCUUGUUGGCGGGGUAACGGCCCACCAAGGCAACGAUCAGUAGGGGUUCUGAGAGGAAGGUCCCCCACAUUGGAACUGAGACACGGUCCAAACUCCUACGGGAGGCAGCAGUGAGGAAUAUUGGUCAAUGGGCGAAAGCCUGAACCAGCCAAGUAGCGUGCAGGAAGACGGCCCUAUGGGUUGUAAACUGCUUUUAUAAGGGAAUAAAGUGGGUCACGUGUGACUUUUUGCAUGUACCUUAUGAAUAAGAACCGGCUAAUUCCGUG
rnacentral:rRNA from 1 species